GUAGGGAAUAUUGGUCAAUGGACGAAAGUCUGAACCAGCCAUUCCGCGUGCAGGAAGAAGAUUCUAUGGAUUGUAAACUGCUUUUAGCAGAGAAGAAACGCCUUCAUUGAUGAGGGUUUGACGGUAUCUGCGGAAUAAGCACCGGCUAACUCCGUGCCAGCAGCCGCGGUAAUACGGGGGGUGCAAGCGUUAUCCGGAAUCACUGGGUUUAAAGGGUGCGUAGGCGGGAAAUUAAGUCAGUGGUGAAAGUCUGUUGCUUAACGAUAGAAUUGCCGUUGAUACUGAUUUUCUUGAAUUGGGUUAAGGUUAGCGGAAUGUGACAUGUAGCGGUGAAAUGCAUAGAUAUGUCAUGGAACACCAAUUGCGAAGGCAGCUAGCUGGGCCUUGAUUGACGCUGAGGCACGAAAGCGUGGGUAGCGAACAGGAUUAGAAACCCGGGUAGUCC
rnacentral:rRNA from 1 species